rnacentral:rRNA from 1 species
UGCGUAGGCGGGCCUUUAAGUCAGUGGUGAAAGCUCCGAGCUUAACUCGGAAACUGCCAUUGAUACUAUUGGUCUUGAAUUCGGUCGAGGUUGGCGGAAUGUGUCGUGUAGCGGUGAAAUGCUUAGAUAUGACACAGAACACCGAUUGCGAAGGCAGCUAGCUAGACCGACAUUGACGCUGAGGCACGAAAGCGUGGGGAUCAAACAGGAUUAGAAACCCUGGUAGUCCACGCCCUAAACUAUGAUUACUCGAUGUUGGCGAUACACUGCCAGCGUCUAAGCGAAAGCAUUAAGUAAUCCACCUGGGGAGUACGAUCGCAAGAUUGAA